UGAGGAAUAUUGGGCAAUGCCCGCAAGGGUGACCCAGCAACGCCGCGUGGAGGAUGAAUGUCGUAAGAUUGUAAACUCCUGUUAGAGGGGAAGAAUAGUACCGGUUGGACCGGUAUAUGACUGUACCCCCAGAGAAAGCCCCGGCUAACUACGUGCCAGCAGCCGCGGUAAUACGUAGGGGGCAAGCGUUGUCCGGAUUUACUGGGUGUAAAGGGCGCGCAGGCGGGAUAAAAAGUCAGUGGUGAAAUCCUACAGCUUAACUGUAGAACUGCCUUUGAUACUUUUAUUCUUGAGUUCGGGAGAGAGAGACGGAAUUCCAGGUGUAGUGGUGAAAUACGUAGAUAUCUGGAAGAACACCAGUUGCGAAGGCGGUCUCUUGGUCCGACACUGACGCUGAGGCGCGAAAGCGUGGGGAGCAAACA
rnacentral:rRNA from 1 species